GUCAUCUGACUUUUGGCAAAAGGAGGAGACUUGGUUGGUUCGGGGAAUAUCUGAACCACACCACUAGCCAAAUUCUCAAUUUUCCAUCUCUCUCUCUCUCUCUGGUACGUCCACUUGUUUAGGGUUUUUACACUAGUAUCAAAAGUUCAUGAUGGGCCGCGCAGCUUUAAUCGCCUUUUGAAUCGUCCAUACGCAGUUGUAAUUUCUGCUCAAAGUUUUGAUUUUGGGGAUUUUAGGGCUUUGCGCCGCUGAAAUCUCAUCUGGGUGGUGAUUCAAUUGGGGCUAAUUGAAUUUUCGAUCUGGGUUUAGCUGGGUUCGGGGGAUUGAGAUUUCAUCUGGGUUGGGGCCAAAAUUUGAAAUUUUGGUACUGUUUUUUAUUUUAUUUGGACUCAAUUUGAGAAUUAGGGUUGUUUCUCUCUGUGGCGAUGGACGACGGAGAGCUUGAAUUUUCGAACCAGGAGCUUGAUUUUUCCUCGAUUCCAAACAUGACCGGUGAGCUUCCGAGUAGUUGCUCCAUGGAGAAUAUUUUCGGUGACUUCUUCAAGGAGACUGAUACUGCUUGCACUCACAACCACAUUUGCAACCCUCCCUCGGGCCCUGACUCGUCUCAUAGGCACACUUGCAUUCAUGUCCACACUAAGAUUUUGUCCUCUGGGCAAAGUGAGGACAAGGCUGGAACUGAUGAUACUGCCGAGUCUGGGGAGAAGAACUCCAAGAAAAGGCCUUUGGGUAAUCGGGAAGCUGUUCGCAAGUACCGGGAGAAGAAGAAGGCUCGAGCUGCUUCGUUGGAGGAUGAGGUUACCAGGUUGAGAGCUUUGAAUCAGCAGCUGAUGAAGAGGUUGCAGGGUCAGACUGCAUUGGAGGCCGAGAUUGCGAGGCUCAAGUGUUUGCUUGUGGACAUUAGGGGAAGGAUUGAAGGAGAAAUUGGAUCUUUUCCGUAUCAGAAGCCGGUGAAUCCGGGUCUGCAGAGUCACAACAUGAGCGGUACUUAUGUGAUGAAUCCAUGUAACAUGCAGUGCAAUGAUCAGCUUUAUUGCCUUCAACGAGGGGAUGAUGGAAAACGUGGAGAUGGGGCAGGAAUGAAUGGCCAAGGGUUUAGUGGUUGUGAAUUUGAGAAUCUUCAGUGUUUCACAAAUCAGGAUGGAGGAUCAAUGGGGCUUUCUGGAUGUGAUCUUGGAAAUGUGAUGUUAGAAUCCAAUGUCAAUCUUUCUGGCACAAAGAAGAGGAAAGGAGGGGCUCGAGCUGCAGCAGCGAAUUGAAGGAAUGGGAAAGUAGUGUCAUCAAAAGUACAUAUGGUCUUGCAAUAAGUAGUUUGUCAACUGCAACAUCAGCUUUCCCCUCAGCUCUUCUUCGCUUUCUGAGCUACAUGAAUUCUUGAUCUCUUACUUACAGAACGUAGAGAAGCUGGCAUGUGAUUUCAAUCAUGUUUCAGUGCUAGAGCUGUGAACAGUAUAGUUACCCGUUACUGAUGCAUCUGGCCAUCGCAAAUGUCAAUGGGAGCCUCUUUCCAACAUUGGGUUGAAAAAUGACUAUGCCAGGAAGAAGGGUCUCCGUAGGUUCAUUGCUUUUAGAUGGUCAGUCAGUUCAUUAGAAGAAUGUGUAUAGAAAAAUAGUUGGUGAUUUUCAUAAAAUGAGGGGUGCCUUUGGUCAUGAAGUGGGAUGGAAGUACUCCUAAAGUUGAUAAAUGAAAAAGCUUACAUAGAGCUCAUUUUAAAGCGAGAACAGAAUAUCAGUAUAUCUUUUGUCUCCUGCCACUAAUUUCAGAAACUAGUUAAGCUUUCUUAGUUUCUUGUUUAUUCUACACCCUCCUCUGGCCAAAAUAAACUAGACCGUUUUGCAAGUAAUAUCAUCUUGAAAUGUCUAGCUUCUCUGUCUUCAUUGUGGUCUAAUGGUAUAGCCUUCUUCUUUGAACAUUCUUCGUUGAUAAUACUACAAAGAUUUUCUGCUCUA